GACGAACGCUGGCGGCGUGCUUAACACAUGCAAGUCGAACGGAAAGGCCCUGUUUGCAGGGUACUCGAGUGGCGAACGGGUGAGUAACACGAGGGAGAUCUGCCCUGCAUCUGGGGAUAAGCCGGGGAAACGGGGUCUAAUACGGGAUAGGAGCCAUCUUUAGUGUGAUGGUUGGAAAGCUUUUUCGGUGUCGGAUGAGCUCGCGGCCUAUCAGCUUGUUGGUGGGGUAAUGGCCUACCAAGGCGGCGACGGGUAGCCGGCCUGAGAGGGUGGACGGCCACAUUGGGACUGAGAUACGGCCCAGACUCCUACGGGAGGCAGCAGUGGGGAAUAUUGCACAAUGGGCGCAAGCCUGAUGCAGCGACGCCGCGUGCGGGAUGACGGCCUUCGGGUUGUAAACUCCUUUCACUAGGGACGAAGCUUUUUGUGACGGUACCUGGAUAAGAAGCACCGGCUAACUACGUG
rnacentral:rRNA from 1 species